AAAAACUGCAUUUCGUCCAUCUACGAAUUUUAUUUGAAGCGAGCCACUUAUUUUGUAGAAAGCAAAUCCGGCCAAUGAAAUUGUUCAUUCUGGUCUAGUUCUUUCUAGCUUUACACACAUUUAAAUUAGUUUUAUGAAUAAAGUACUUAAUUUAAACCGGUUUGGUUUACCAAAGUCCCUGUUUUUGGUCCAUUCUUGCUAAAUAAAAUUUUACUGCUUAUUCUUCUUUUAUGUAUUUCACUUAUAAGUUUGUG
rnacentral:lncRNA from 1 species